rnacentral:misc_RNA from 4 species
GUUUAAUUACCCAAGUUUGAG